UACGAAGGGGGCUAGCGUUGUUCGGAUUUACUGGGCGUAAAGCGCACGUAGGCGGGUCGUUAAGUCAGGGGUGAAAUCCCGGAGCUCAACUCCGGAACUGCCUUUGAUACUGGCGACCUUGAGGCUGGAAGAGGUUAGUGGAAGUUCCCAGUGUAGAGGUGAAAUUCGUAGAUAUUGGGAAGAACACCAGUGGCGAAGGCGGCUAACUGGUCCAGAUCUGACGCUGAGGUGCGAAAGCGUGGGGAGCAAACAGG
rnacentral:rRNA from 1 species